rnacentral:lncRNA from 1 species
GGUCUCCUGCUCCCUAUCUCUUCAUUUCUUCUCAUUGGACCCGGAAUCGAUUGCCUCCAUACACAGUUGGUAAAUUUUAAUUCUACACGCAUUUGUUUGUUGUCCUUCUCCCCCUGGAGGGUAUAUAGAAAGCUCCAUGAUGACGGGACCCAUGUGUGUUUCAUUCCCCAGCUUAUACCCAGCAUGCAGCACUGGAGCUGGCACAUAACAGGAGCCUGGUAAAUAUUUGCAGAGAAGUGAAUGAAAUGAAAAGCUACACUUACACAACAAGUACCUCCUGAUGUUGUUUCCUGGUGACAGGCAGCUUCUGUUCUGAGAAUACAAUGGACUUUGUCUCUUAUGGAUGAUUUAUUCUGUCAAUAAUUUGCCAGGGGAGGGCAGUAGCUCCUUGCUUCCAACUCUUGGUCUCCACAUUCCUCUUCUGUAAAUCAAUCCUUCCCCGAACUGUAGCGGAACCAAAUCCCAUGGAUUCUACCUGAGCUCUGCCUCUGGACCCCCACCCUUCCUUCUGCCGCGGCCUUUCGGGGUCUUUGUCACUUCUCGCCCGGAUUCCCACCCUAGAUUCCUAAUUGGGUUCCUUGGCAACAGUCUUGCCCAAUCCUGCCUCACCUCCCCCUCAGCUGCCAGAGAUGUCAUCAUCAAAAUAUUUGAAAAACGAAUUCUAGGGUUAAAGACCUCCCCUGCUCUCUCGAACCUAGAGAUAGGAUCAAGUGCAAACAUUUCGGCAUGAGGUUCAAUAAGCCUUCCAAUCUGCCCUGGGGUCCUUCUCCUAGCUCCUCUCCCAUAGGCCCCCCUUUCCCACCAUGCAGCCCCUGCCCAGCCACAGUACUGAAUGAAUGUGACUCCCCAGCUGCAAAGCCGUGACGUGAUGCGGGCCAUCUUCUUUGCCUGGCCUGCCUUGUCUCCCCUGCGGCAGCCAACAGUCUCCCUCCUGACUCGUUCUUGGGAAGCCUGCUCAGUCUCUGUUGUUCCUAUCUCUAUUAAAAUCUUCAUUUUAAUGUGUCUUAAGUCUGCAGUCGCAGCUGCUGCUCCUGCUGUUUUUCAGCGAGGAAGGCGCAUUGUUGGAAGACACGAAGGAAGGGAGGAGGAAAGGAAAAAAUUGGAAGGGAAAGAAAUUGUCCCAUAGCUAGCACCCCAUCCCCGACUUACUUCCUCCUGCCCGCUAUUCCACUAAGUUACUCUGAAAGGCCUUUUGUGAGAAUGAUCUGUUGCGUUUUCCUGCCUGACGUCUCUUCCCUCUUCUUCCCUAUGGGAAAAGCUGCCCUGUCUGGUUUGAGUGGCUUGGGUCAUAGCCACAUCCUUGGACCUCAUGCAUGGGAGAAUUGGGCUCAUGACCCAAAUGAUACCAUUCAAAAUCUUCCUUAAGGCUUUUUUUUUGCCAAAGAAACAUCCUCUCCUUCCUCUGAGGAUGCUAAGCUGGUAUGUGCUUCCAUUGAUCAUUAUGAUCUCCAGUAGAGAAAGCCUGUUUAAGAGAUCAGGAAUCCUGGGGCGCCUGGGUGGCUCAGUUGGUUAAGCGUCCGACUUCGGCUUAGGUCAUGAUCUCGCGGUUUGUGGGUUCGAGCCCCGUGCCGGGCUCUGUGCUGACAGCUCAGAGCCCGGAGCCUGUUCUGGAUUCUGUCUCCCUUUCUCUCUGCCCCUCCCCUGCUCACACUCUGUCUCUGUCUCUCUCAAAAAUAAACAUUAAAAAAAAAACUAAGAGAUCAGGAGUCCUGAUGACAUCAUUUGAGCUCCUGUAUCAA